UCCGGUUUAUCACCGGCAGUCCCCCUAGAGUUCCCGGCCGAACCGCUGGUAACUAAGGAUAGGGGUUGCGCUCGUUGCGGGACUUAACCCAACACCUCACGACACGAGCUGACGACAGCCAUGCAGCACCUAGUAGCAAGCCCCUUGCGGGGAGAGUGACUUUCAUCACCGGUCCUGCCACCUUCUAACCCAGGUAAGGUUCUUCGCGUUGCGUCGAAUUGAACCACAUGCUCCACCGCUUGUGCGGGCCCCCGUCAAUUCCUUUGAGUUUCAGCCUUGCGGCCGUACUCCCCAGGCGGAUGACUUAAUGCGUUAGCUGCGCCACCGAAAGCCUAUGGCCCCCGACAGCUAGUCAUCAUCGUUUACGGCGUGGACUAC
rnacentral:misc_RNA from 1 species